GAGGGUUUUAACAAAUCUGGUGAGGUCAAGUUGGCUAGUGAUCUUCUGAAAUAUUUUUUAAAAUUUAACUAAGCAAACUCAGAAUCAAGUUGAGUUAUUAUUGCAGAUGACAGAAGUGAAAAGUACCCAUUCCCAAAUCGAAAGCCUCGUAAGCACCUGAAAAUUAGAAAGACUUCAGAGGGGAAAUCCUGCCUGCUGGUGAUGGAAAAAAGUGUUUUCGGGGGGAAGAAAGUAAAAGAAGACGAAAAAAAAUCAUCGAUUUUCAAGUGUUUUCAAUCAUCGUUCCGGCUGUGAAGUGGGCCAAAGAACUUUUUUAUCGCUGAGAAUGUCACCAGCAGAAUGUUCAAAAUAUUUUUAGGGGCUUUCGAUCAAACUUGAAGGUGUGCCUUGUUGAAGUUAGAAAAUACGUUUGAAGUGAUAUUUUUAGUUAUAUGGAAAAAGAGAUCCAUAAACCACACCUGUGUUGCUGCAAAGGCAGCCAGUGAUGAAAAUAAUCCAGCAGAAUAGACUACAAUUGUCGUGGUUCCAAACGCAUCGAUGAUAGACCCAAUUGAUAACGAGAUAAUCACCUGAAAA